UACGGGGGGUGCGAGCGUUGUCCGGAAUCACUGGGCGUAAAGGGCGCGUAGGUGGUUUGAUAAGGGUGUGGUGAAAGUCCGGGGCUCAACCCCGGAUCUGCCGUGCCGACUGUCAAACUCGAGGGCUGUAGAGGCAGACGGAAUUCCGGGUGUAGCGGUGGAAUGCGUAGAGAUCCGGAGGAAGACCAGUGGCGAAGGCGGUCUGCUGGGCAGUUUCUGACACUGAUGCGCGACAGCGUGGGGAGCAAACAGG
rnacentral:rRNA from 1 species